rnacentral:miRNA from 1 species
AAUUCGUAUUAAUAUUCCA